rnacentral:lncRNA from 1 species
UAGCAGUUAGGAAAGGAAUGAAUCAUACACUAUUAUACAACUUGCAAUUUAUUUUCAUUACUCCAUAAUGAUGAAACCGUAACCCCUGUGUCCCUAUCUUCUUGAAUAAAUUGAAAGACACUUAUUGUCAUGGUGGAUAACCAAGCUAUUAAACAAAAUUUCUAUCUCAUAAAUUUGAUUAUAUAUGCCAAACAAACAAAUAACAGAGAUGAAGCCUACCUUAUCAUUUCAAGUGACCACAAAGCUUUGUUAUAAAUUUUAUUCUCCCCCAAUCUAAUUUGUUAGCAUCUCAACAAAUAGUUCAUCGUUUUCAACCUUGGAUCGUCGAACCAAACUUUGGAACGAGAGAUAACGUGUGUAAACUAUAGUUGCGAAUUUAGCCUUGUAUUGUGCUUGGAAGGAAAGCAUCUAAGGUAAGGGUUUUUUCCCCAUAAAUUCAUACUACGUAAGGAUUGUGUUGUGAAGUGGUAAUAGGACAUUUAUCUUUUAAAAGAAAUAAUUAAAAAUAAACU